rnacentral:rRNA from 1 species
UACGGAGGGUGCAAGCGUUAUCCGGAUUCACUGGGUUUAAAGGGUGCGUAGGAGGGCAGGUAAGUCAGUGGUGAAAUCCCCGAGCUUAACUCGGAAACUGCCAUUGAUACUAUCUGUCUUGAAUAUUCUGGAGGUGAGCGGAAUAUGUCAUGUAGCGGUGAAAUGCUUAGAUAUGACAUAGAACACCCAUUGCGAAGGCAGCUCACUACGGGAUUAUUGACACUGAGGCACGAAAGCGUGGGGAUCAAACAGG